rnacentral:tRNA from 1 species
UCCCAUAUGGUCUAGUGGUUAGGAUUCGGCGCUUUCACCGCGAAGGCCAGGGUUCAAUUCCCGGUGUGGGAA